rnacentral:rRNA from 1 species
UGGGGAAUAUUGCACAAUGGGCGCAAGCCUGAUGCAGCCAUGCCGCGUGUAUGAAGAAGGCCUUCGGGUUGUAAAGUACUUUCGGCGAGGAGGAAGGCGGUAAGGUUAAUAACCUUAUCGAUUGACGUUACUCGCAGAAGAAGCACCGGCUAACUCCGUGCCAGCAGCCGCGGUAAUACGGAGGGUGCAAGCGUUAAUCGGAAUUACUGGGCGUAAAGCGCACGCAGGCGGUCUGUCAAGUCGGAUGUGAAAUCCCCGGGCUCAACCUGGGAACUGCAUUCGAAACUGGCAGGCUAGAGUCUUGUAGAGGGGGGUAGAAUUCCAGGUGUAGCGGUGAAAUGCGUAGAGAUCUGGAGGAAUACCGGUGGCGAAGGCGGCCCCCUGGACAAAGACUGACGCUCAGGUGCGAAAGCGUGGGGAGCAAACA